rnacentral:rRNA from 1 species
GAAUGUGGUAGAGGUAGGCGGAAUGUGUUGUGUAGCGGUGAAAUGCUUAGAUAUAACACAGAACACCGAUUGCGAAGGCAGCUUACUAUUCCAUUAUUGACGCUGAUGCACGAAAGCGUGGGGAUCAAACAGGAUUAGAUACCCUGGUAGUCCACGCUGUAAACUAUGAUCACUCGUUUUUGGCGAUAUAUAGUCAGAGACUGAGCGAAAGCAUUAAGUGAUCCACCUGGGGAGUACGUUCGCAAGAAUGAAACUCAAAGGAAUUGACGGGGGCCCGCACAAGCGGAGGAACAUGUGGUUUAAUUCGAUGAUACGCGAGGAACCUUACCUGGGCUUAAAUGUAUAGUGCAUAAUGUGGAAACACAUUUUUCCUUCGGGACUCUUUACAAGGUGCUGCAUGGUUGUCGUCAGCUCGUGCCGUGAGGUGUCGGGUUAAGUCCCAUAACGAGCGCAACCCUCAUCGUUAGUUGCCAACACGUGAAGGUGGGGACUCUAGCGAGACUGCCGGUGUAAACCGUGAGGAAGGUGGGGAUGACGUCAAAUCAGCACGGCCCUUAUGUCCAGGGCUACACACGUGUUACAAUGGCCAAUACAAAGGGCAGCCACCUGGUGACAGGGCGCUAAUCCUCAAAGUUGGUCUUAGUUCGGAUCGGAGUCUGCAACUCGACUCCGUGAAGCUGGAUUCGCUAGUAAUCGUAGAUCAGCCAUGCUACGGUGAAUACGUUCCCGGGCCUUGUACACACCGCCCGUCAAGCCAUGGAAGUUGGGGGUACCUGAAGUCCGUAACCGCGAGGAGCGGCCUAGGGUAAAACCGAUGACUGGGGCUAAGUCGUAACAAGGUAAC